rnacentral:lncRNA from 1 species
CUCUUUUCUUUAUCGUCACUUCAGUGUACAUCCCUGUGUGUCUGUUUUCCCGGGUUCUUUUUGUUGCAAGUGAUGGAGAACCACUUUAGACUGGCCGUCGAGUAGGGGCUGUCUAAUACUGCUCAUGCAGCUGGUUGGGCAUAGCUGUCCCUCCAUCUCUCUCCCUGUUCUCUCUAGACAAUGUGGUAUACUGUCUGCUCAGCCUGACGCUGAUCCCUCACUGAUCUGAAGGCCAGCCGGAAGCCAGUGUACAGGGGUAGUGGCAGCCCGUCCAUGUGUACCCCCAGAAGAUCAGGGCCGUAGAGGAGAAUGAGAAGUGGAGGCUGGCAACAAAAACAGGAGGAGGAACAGUGACAAGUGUCACCCAGGGUGGUGAUGGCCGCCCCGCCAGCACAUCCUCCCCGACCUUCCACCGCGCCCUGCUCUUCCAGUGUGCUGAGGUGUUUUCAGGUCGUGGCAGAGGAAAUUGUUCUCCAGACCCUGAAGUCAAAAGAUACCCAGCCCUGAGCCCUGGGGAGCUCCACCGCGUCCUAGCCCACCGCACCGCCGUCCCCGGCUGGUCCUCCUGGAGCGAGAAGCCCAGACUUGUGUGCCGCCUCACACGCUCACAGAUGGCUUCCCUGCCCAGGGCUGGCUGCUGCUAAUUUUGGCUGUUGGAGGCUCCGUGUGCGCUCUCUCUUUUUUUAAUUCCAUGUUUAUUUAAAGCCAGAUUUUGAAAUCUUGUCGUCAACUCUGAAGUCUGAAAUUUUCUUGCUGCAGAUCUUCCCCCCCAACACACACACAUACACACUCACACACAGGAUGCAAAGUACAGGAGGCUUGAUGCACAACUAGACAGGGCUCCCUGACAGCCGACCUGUUGUGUCAGCACAGAGCACGGGACGUCCCUGUGCAUGCUGGUGUUUCCGGG